rnacentral:rRNA from 1 species
UACAGAGGGUGCUAGCGUUGUUCGGAAUCAUUGGGCGUAAAGGGCGUGUAGGCGGAUUGUUAAGUCAGGGGUGAAAUCCUGGAGCUCAACUCCAGAACUGCCUUUGAUACUGGCGAUCUCGAGUCCGGGAGAGGUGAGUGGAACUGCGAGUGUAGAGGUGAAAUUCGUAGAUAUUCGCAAGAACACCAGUGGCGAAGGCGGCUCACUGGCCCGGUACUGACGCUGAGGUGCGAAAGCGUGGGGAGCAAACAGG